rnacentral:rRNA from 1 species
AACGAACGCUGGCGGCGCGCCUAAUACAUGCAAGUCGAGCGAGAAGACGUAGCAAUACGUUUGUAAAGCGGCGAACGGGUGAGGAAUACAUGGGUAACCUACCCUCGAGUGGGGAAGUAACUAGCCGAAAGGUUAGCUAAUACCGCGUACGCUCCUUGGACUUCGGUUCAGGGAGGAAAGCGAUACCGUGGGUAUCGCGCUCUUGGAUGGGCUCAUGUCCUAUCAGCUUGUUGGUGAGGUAACGGCUCACCAAGGCUUCGACGGGUAGCUGGUCUGAGAGGACAAUCAGCCACACUGGCACUGCGACACGGGCCAGACUCCUACGGGAGGCAGCAGUAAGGAAUAUUGCGCAAUGGGCGAAAGCCUGACGCAGCGACGCCGCGGUGGGGGAGUGAA